rnacentral:rRNA from 1 species
GAGUUUGAUCGUGGCUCAGAUUGAACGCUGGCGGCAGGCCUAACACAUGCAAGUCGAGCGGUAGAGAGAAGCUUGCUUCUCUUGAGAGCGGCGGACGGGUGAGUAAUGCCUAGGAAUCUGCCUGGUAGUGGGGGAUAACGCUCGGAAACGGACGCUAAUACCGCAUACGUCCUACGGGAGAAAGCAGGGGACCUUCGGGCCUUGCGCUAUCAGAUGAGCCUAGGUCGGAUUAGCUAGUUGGUGAGGUAAUGGCUCACCAAGGCGACGAUCCGUAACUGGUCCGAGAGGAUGAUCAGUCACACUGGAACUGAGACACGGUCCAGACUCCUACGGGAGGCAGCAGUGGGGAAUAUUGGACAAUGGGCGAAAGCCUGAUCCAGCCAUGCCGCGUGUGUGAAGAAGGUCUUCGGAUUGUAAAGCACUUUAAGUUGGGAGGAAGGGCAGUAAAUUAAUACUUUGCUGUUUUGACGUUUACCGACUAGAAUAAGCACCGGCUAACUCUGUGCCAGCAGCCC